rnacentral:misc_RNA from 1 species
AAGUCGUAACAAGGUCUCCGUAGGUGAACCUGCGGAGGGAUCAUUACUGAGUUUUCAACUCUCCAAACCAUGUGAACUUACCACUGUUGCCUCGGUGGUCGUGCCCUGUUUCGGCAGGGCGCGCCGCCGGCGGACAAACUAAACUCUUGUCAACUAUGUCAAAUCUGAAUCUAAACUAAGAAAUAAGUUAAAACUUUCAACAACGGAUCUCUUGGUUCUG